GCGAGGCGGGUGGCGCGCGGCAGCAGGGUUGGGCUCUCGCCGUGAGUCGACGAAGGGAGCGCGGGCGCGCGCCCGCGUCCGCGCACUGAGAGUCGCCUCGGCCGCUCGCUUUCUCGACUCCCGCCUCGCGCCUCGAUCCUGUUCCGCCUCCCUCGGCCCUCCUGCCCGCCCCCACUCGUCGGCCCUCAGGUUCCUGGAAAGUGAAAAUUUCAUUUCUUUGUGGACAGGUACCUAAAAUGUCUCAUUAUUCAUCAAUUAAUGAAAAACAAAUGAAAAUUUGAGAGAGAUAUUCUGAAGAAUAAAAGGAUCAAGUUGGGUCAUUUCUAAAAUCUCAGAGACCUAAUAGGAUGGGGUCUUAGAGAAACAUCUUUUGAGCCACAGACUUCUUUGUUACCAGAAGGAAAAUGAAAGAAGAAAUUUAAAUACCACUUGAAGAGAGGUAAAUAAAUGAGAAAUGGGGCUGAGAGGGCGGGUAUUUUUUUAAAAAUUCAUUAAAUGGAAAAAUCCACAAAUGUUAAUUCUGGUAGAUUUCUUAGAAAUUACAUCAGAGGAGCAUGCUUGGUCUUCCCACCCUCAUUAGGCCUCAGUGACAGGUACUUGAACAACUGAGCCCCUAAUGUGCAUGCUCCCCCACCCCUGAAGCCAGUCUCUGCCCUCCUCUUCCCUCCUCUUGCCCCUGGAAGCUGAUCGCCACCAACUGGCCUCUGGGUGGAUUUGGCCAAUGGAAGCACCUGUAGAGGGAAGAGAGUGAGGUUAGGAUAUUUCUUCCUGCUGUCUCCGUGCUUCCCUGCAGAGAGUGUGAAGAAAUGACCCUGAAAAGCCUCUGGCAGAGGAUUCUUCUUUCAGGAUGGUGUCGCCUCCUCAGCAGCCCAUCCUCCUCCCCUGGACUCAAGCUCUCAUUCCAGUAACACUCCUUCCUCCUUCUCCAUCUUCAGGGGGAGGUUUGCCAGUCGGUGGGUUCUAAGCAUAUCUCGCUGAUUCCCCCCAACCCUGCCGACACCUCUGUAGGUCGUCCCUUCAUUAAAAUCUCUCCAUUUGAACUAUCUGAGUUUAAUUCCAUUUCCUCCUGGUAUCUCAGUGAUACACGGUAUCAGUACAAAAAUCUCGCUUCACCUUCAGAACCAACAGAUUUGAGACAUUUUAUCCUCUGUGGAACCAUUAGUUAUUUUGUCAUUGGUUGUAUCAGAAAAAAAAAUCAGGAAUGCAAAUCCUUCUUUAUUACAGAUUCAGAUUUGCAUAUUACCAAUGUUAUAUAUUUUAAACAAAACUAUUCAUCAUAAGUUUUAAAAAUUAACUACUGGAGUAGUUAAUGAAUCUGAAUGUAAUUAUGUAGCUUUCAUAAUAUUAAAGUAAAAAUACUAAAAGAAGUAUUUCUUAAAGAAGCAAAUGCUCAAUCUCCAAGUAAAUUUUAUUCUAUGCUCUUCCGGUAUAAGAAUAUGUUAAUAUCUUGAAAAAUAUCAUAUUAUUUUGUGAACUCAUAAAGCUAUUUUGAGUUUUUGUAAAAUGAAAACCUUACCAAAAUGUAUUUUAUUGUUGGAAAGCUUGACCGUUACUGCUGUUUAAUUUUUUGAGCUUGUAAACUUUAUUUGUGCAUGUUUUCAACAAAGAAGGAUUUUAUUGUUAUUACAUAAAACAGGUGAUUUCUAGAUUUUAAAAUCACAAAUUGAAAGCAAGGCACAAUAAUAUAUAUUUCAAGAUAUAGGUACUUAGGAGGCAUCCUUUUAGUCAUCUGUUCAAUGUAGCCAUCUAUUUUACACCUACUGUCUACUAUUGUUUGAGGUCCUUGCCAAAGUAUUGCAGGCUAGUUAGGAAACAUAAAACAAUUAGAAAGUAAUCUAUGACAAGUAAGCUAUCUAUAAAUGGCAAUGAAGGGUAGAACAAAUUCAAUGAAAAUAUCUAUUUAAUCCUAGUGUUUACUGGUCUAGAAGAAUAGGCUGAGUAAAUUAGUAUUUCUCUGGCUGUUGUGGUAACACAUUGCAUGCUAUAACAGUUUUAAGUAAUUACAGGUGCAUUGAAAUUUAUCUAUGGCUUUGUCAUCAUAUUCUAAAAUGUCAUGAGUACUUUUUUCUGACCUCAAUUACUAUGAAAUUGGUUUCCAAUAUUUAAUUAACCAAGAAUAUCAAGUCUAUAGGGUAUUAUUAAGGUGAGACUUCUGUAGCCUUUUCAAUAAAGACCAGAAUUUUGGAGUGCCUUGAACCUUAAUCAUUGAUCUUUAAUUCUUAUUAAGUCAACUGCCCACCUUUUAAAGACUGAGGCCCAGGAAGAGUAAGUUUCUCUGAGACAAUGCAUACAGUACAGUGCUUCUUGGGUAUUGGCUCUAAGACCAGAUGCAAAGAAAGGCUAAAAUCCCAUUUCAUUGUUCAUUAGGUGAGAACCCUUUGUUAAGCUGUGUAACCUCUGUGCAUAGUUUCCUCAUCAGCAAAGUCAGAAAAAGUAUGUACCUGAAGGACUGAUUGUAAGGCUGGGAUGAGAGAAUCCAUGUGAUCAGCCCUCACCAACAGGUGCUGCCCAGUUCAUGAGUGCUGCUGCUGUCCUGCCCAAGUACCCAGCUUGCAGAGUGCCAGAGUUAGAGUCCCAGGGGUGUUCUCCACAGCUGCAUGCUUGAUCCAGGCCUAUCAGAUAUAUUCCAUUGAAAGUCCUCAUUCUCAAAUUUAAAACAAAGACUUUUUGUGUACCUCAAUAGCAAUGCACACACAGUUGGCUUCACAAACAUAUUGUACAUUUCUUUUUUUCAUAUUUAUUCAACAAAUGUAUAUUGACUACCCACCGUGUGACAGGUGUUAUUUGUUGACGGAACCAGGCAUCAUCAGCAAACAAAACUGACAAAGCUUCCUGCCCUCUGUGGAAGGCAUCUGAGGAAGAGACUGGAUUUUGUAGCAACAUGUUAUUCUCAUUAUAAACUUUAUCAUUGGAAUACUAAAGCCAAAUCAUCCCCCAUCUCCUUGAUCAGGAUACCCACUUAAUCUAGGCAGCUACACAAUUGUGAGAGCCUUUGUUUUUUUCUGCUGAAACAUCCUUAAAAAGAUACCUCACAACCCAAGAUUUGGCUUUUCUUAAAUACGAUUUUUAAUUUUUUUCAUUUCUAUCUAGAGAUUUAAUUGGAAAUGGAAAAUCAUCAAUUUUCCAAUUAAAUGUCUGUUCCAAUCAACAUUAUACCUUUUAGGUUGUCAUUGUCAUUUUUAAGUUUAAGCAACUUUAAGGAUUUUGAAUCUGGCUGCCUGUAAAUUAAAGGUGAAAGUAAUCAUUGUGUUGGAUUGGAACAUUUUGUCAAUUGAGAGUGGUUUCCUUGUUCUUAGUGUAUGAAAAGUUUAUUUUUCUAAUGUAGAUUAAUAAAGGAGAUAAAGAAAAACAAAAUGAGUGAUUUAUGUGUGUGAGAAAAGAACCAUUUCCUCAAGGAUUAAAUAAAAUUCAUACCUUUUGUUUCUUUUGAAAAGUUUUUAAAAUAAAUUUUAAUGAAUGUGUCCUUUAAAUAUUCCUUUAAAAAUGUAUCCUAUUUUAAAAUGGACUCUCUGAGAGAAGGAAUUGAUACCUGUGUUUAAAAUCAAAAAUAGCAUGCAUAGAGACUGUUUUUCUAGUUGGUUGAAGCUUUUUUCCCUCUCCUUUACAUCAGUGAACCAGCAUCUUGCCCUUCAGACCCUACAGCACACUCUUGGGCUCAUGAAGUGUAUGACACAUCCUCCUUGGGGGAUCGGCCAUGUCCUCGCUCUCAUGACCACAUGAAUUCUUCUGUAUGUCUUUUCUCACAGCUGAGUACUCUCUUCCUGACCCCCUUGUGGAAUGGGGAAAGGAGGCUGUGACAUUGUGCUUGUGCAAACAAUAAUUGAGAGCUUUCCGAGUCUCCUGCAUCUUCAUAAAUGAUUUUUUGUUUUAUGCUGGGACAGUAGUUCUUUAAAUAGAAUAUUCUCCCAUGGAAAUCGCCCACAAUGCUGAGAGUACACCUUGCAAAAGGUAAGUCUAGAAUAUAGGGUGCCUCCUCAGCAUUGCCCAGAAGCUGAAGUUAGGACUCUCUAGAAUACCAAAAACAAAUUUAUAGCAGUUCAUUAAUGUAAGGAAUUAUGAAAACUGUGUGCCACCAUUAUCCAUAGAUGAAACAAGAGCCACCACGCAAGCACAGACACAAAGCCCUGAAGAUGAAGCCAUUGACAGGGCUCUCAUUUAUUCUGUAGAAACCCACUUGCCUGUUUUUGAACCAGUUUUCUUUGGAGCAUAUGUCUCACUGUGCAACCAAAGUGGUGUUUAUAUCCUAGUCACUUGGCAAAAAUUCUGUCAUUGCUUCAGGGAGAUCCAUUUUAGGCCUGAAGCAUGGAGCUGGUAAUAGAUGGGAUUUGGUACUUCUGAAGAAAAGACCCUACUGCAAAUUUAGAGAGUUAAUUUUUUCUUUUGUUCCCCAUAAUAUUGUUGCUAGAUAGAACUACCUUUUUUGACUAGAAGUUAAAUAUAGAGGCCUAAAUCAAUUAGGUAACUCCCACUCAUUCUAAAUGAGAACAUGUUUGUUUUUCUCCAACGAGAUGAGAAAUAUUUGAGGCGCUUCCUGAUAUCUCUAUCACCCACUGCAUUUUUUCACUUGAUGUAUAUUUCCCCAUGUAUUUGGGAUAAUUUUCAAAUAAUUGCCCUUUAGAAAUCUACUUGAUAUUAAAUGUAAAAAAAAAGCAAGAUGCAAAAUUAUUAUAGGAUGCAUUUACAGAAAUUACAAAAUUUCUAUAAACUAUUUAUGGAGGAAGACUUAUAGAGUAUAUGUCAACACAUUGCUUUAUUAUUGUCCUUGGUUAUGAGUAUGGUUUUUUUGAAACCUGCUUUGUACUUUGGGUGUUUUCUCACCAUUGGUACAAUUGAGGCAUUUUUCCCUCUUCUUCAACCUUGCAAAUCACACGUGAGGAUGCUCAUAGAAGUGCCUCUCAGACAGGCUGUUGUUUUGCUUUCACCAAUAAAUCAUUUAUAAUUAGAAGUAGAAAACUAUUCUUUCCAGUGCAAAUACAUCCCUUUCAAAAGCAGUUCUCUUUUUGUGAAUGAUGUCUAGUGUCUAAGAAACGAGGGUAACCUUUAUUAUAUGCAUUGCUCUAAUCGAAGCAUUGUUUUUUGCGGUGAACUCAAGGUUACAUGUUUAAGAAAAGCAUCGGGUUAAUUCCAUUAGGAAAAGUGUCUUAUUCAUAAACCUUUAGCCACUGGAAAAACACCAUUAGGAGGCCACACAAGUGUGUAUAGCUGGAUAGAAUUUGACAACUGGCAAAACAAAACAAUAGCCUACAAUUGCAGAGUGCUGUCUGUUUAAAAACCAACAUAUCUUUCACCAACAAAUACAUAUUCACCUCAACACGAGACUUUCAUGUGGUUAUUAAUAUCAAAUUUUUGAAUGUCCAAAUUUUGGAGUGUAGUCUAGCAGAGGUAAACUGAUUUGCCUAAGGUCCUUCAACUGUCAGAGGUAGAAUUAUUUUCUCUCUCCUGGCUCUAAAACCUGUCCAGAUUCUCCUGCAACACUGUCCUUCAAAAACACACUUCCGCUGACUCCAGUGCUGGUGAUGUCAUGCUUUAGCUAGUAGUUAGAGGUGACUUAACUUUAAAUAUGGAAUCUUUUUUUCCUAUUAAGCAAUGAGGUUUAGUUUGAAAAUUCUUAGAGAUGAUAAACCCCUCUCCUUUUUUUCUUCCUUCUCCUCUUUUGUCCUGAACAAUGUUCCAUAUAUAUUACUGCCAGAAACAGAUUCUUGACAUUCCUGUUAUGCUUUUCCACAUCUUGUAAUCAUUUCUACAGCUGUUAGCAUUGCCAACAAUUAUAUUUCCACUUUUAAAAAAUUGUUACAAAGAUGCAGAGAGAAAAGAGGAAAGCCAAGGAAUAAACUACAGGCAAUUAUGGGAUAUUUUUGUGAUGUGACAUUUUGGGAACUGAGGCAGCAUCACUGAUACUGCACUACUUUUUAAUAUCUAGAUUUUAAUCUUUUGUAUGAAGAUAAAAUUCACAUGCCUUAAACCUGACCACAACAUAAUAGGGCAUUUAUUUUUCUAAUUUUGAUACCAUCCACAUUUCUUAACUAUAAGAAGAAUGCUUAUGUUGUACCAGGUUAUAUGAUGUUGCCAAGAAGUAGAUGUGUACCAUUUACUAAUACAUCCUUUUGGAAAAUGCGUAUUAAUAACAUAUUAAGGAGUAAAUUGACGUUGUGCAAAGUGAGCCUGUGAGUUUAAAUGUAUGGAUUGUACACCUUGCUCUUCCUAAUUGCAGAUUUAACAGGAUUUGAUGACCUAAUGAGUUUAUUUCUGAAUGAUUUAUAUUUCUUUGUCAGUUCAAUGAUUUAGUAUUUUAAAUUUUUUUAAAUCACAUUUUAUUGAGAUAAUGCUAUUAGUGUUUCUUUCCCAUCACUUAACAAAGUUAAGUCACUCCUCUCCCACCCCACUUUUGUACCUACCAAUGUUUUUUUCACAGUUACAGGCUGAUUGGCUUGACGUGUCUUAGGAUACCACCCAAAGAGAGCUUCAUUUUAUAAAUACCAAGCUCAUUUUCCUAAAUAUUUUCAAAAAGAUAGAUUUAUCCUCAUAUAGUAAAUUCAGAUUAAUAAUUUUGGAAAGGGUCAUGUGACCAUGGUAUUACAUGGCUGUGGAAGACCCUCCAAGAUCUUGUUUUGGGAUAGAAGGACUCAGACAUCCAAACUUUUAAAUUAAUGAACUUAUUAAAUUCUAAAACUUUGUAACAGUGUUAAUUUGAGAAGUAUAAUAUUUUGCUUAAGGUCUGUUUUGCUUUGCAAAAUGCAUCUCCUUCAUUUUCAUAUUAUGUUGGAAGCUUAGCAUGAAAGAACGUGCCUCAGAGGAAACCAUAGGUAAGCAUACUUUAACAAAAGUUAGUGUCAUCAUGUUUGUGUCUUUGCCUGUGGUUUUUUAAAUGUAUAAUGUUUAACGUUGAUUUGGCUAUCAAAUUACAUUUUCUUUUGUUAAAAAAUUCUGUAAAUUAGAAAUGUACUGAAUCAUUUAUUUAGCAGACUGAAGGUGGGUAAUGUUGGCUGAACAGGUUUAAGCCACAGUAAUUUGAAAAUGUAAAUACAUAAAAUAAUGUCAUUUCUCUUCCACUCAAUGUUUCUUCACCAAAUAAAGUCCAGCCUGCUCUGAAUUUGUUGCCAGUAGGAACAAUGUUACAGUGAAUCAUGGUUUAAUAUACCUUGAAAAUGGCACAUCUGUUCUGUGAUAGCUUACCAAUUUUAGCCUCUUUAUAAAAUACGAAGAGUUUGUCAACCAGAAUAAUCUAGAACCUGGCAAUUCAAAUACCAUUCAAAGCAAAUGUUUUAUCUAAUAACUGGAACUAAAUGUUAGGCCUCAUGACAGUUCAAUAUUUACUAAAUAAGUUUAAUAACAGGGUAAGCCCUCAGUAUCCAGAGCAGAGACAAGCACACCAUAUUUACACAUACAAAUUCUGCCUUUAGCCAUCUGAAAGGGCCCCGAACUAUUGCAGCAAGCAAAGAGUCUUUGCAUUGUCCUAAAAUCCAUACAAUACUUUAUAUUUUACACAUUUUAAUAGCUAGUUUAACAAAUAACAAGUACCAUGCUUAAUUCUCUGCAUGCAUUAUUUCAACUAAUUAUUGGAAUAAUCUUAUAAAGUGGGUACUUUCGUCUCAGCUUACAGGUGAGAAAACAAAAGUUAAAUAGAUCGCCCAGGGCUCUGCUGGAACGUGUUAAGCAGGGAUUUCAGCCUGUCCAGUCAGACCCCAGAAGUUGUGUUCUUAACCAUUAGCAACACAUCAUCCCAGGCAGGCCCUACAUGAGCCUCAUAACCAAUUUUAUGCUGGAUAGUAUUAUCCCUAUUUCACAGAUGGCAAAACUGAGGUCCAGAGACUUUAAGUGACCUACCCAAAAUUACAGUCAUGAGCAGAGGCACUGGAAUGUAGGGCCUUGACACUCUACCUCACGUGGUCCUCUUUCCUGUUUUGGGUAGUUCUCCACUACCACUACUCAUUUCUGAUGCUGGAAAGGCUGUGUUUUAUACAUUUCUGUUUCUGGCUUGGAACGAAACACUCUGGGUCUCUGCUUGAUCAGUGUCCCCUCUAAACUGCACCUCACUACAGUAGGGAUGGCAUAAGAUACUUCUUUACACAGCAUCUUUUUGUUCCCACCUCACCCCCAGAGCUGUAAUAGGUAGAGCCAGCCAAAUGUCAAAGGGAUGAUUUGUCUUGUCACCACUAGUUUCCCUUUUCUCUGCCUUGUAUGUAACAGGAAUAUUCUUUAGUUCCUCCUUAUGUUCUAAAGCACCUCCCCAACCUAAAAAUAGAAGAGGAGUUGUGGGUCAUUUACACUUUAGUGUGAAUUUGCCCUUGUGACUUUGCCAAGGCUGUUGUGCCUAACCCUUUCAAUCUAACAGCAGAAUGAGAGUCUCUGGACUAUCCUGGCUCCUUCCCUGAGAAGAAUGAACUGGGAAUUGUUGGUCUAGACAUCAAGACUACCAGAGACCUAUUGCUCAGAGAUGUUUGGGCUGUACAAUUUCUGUAGAUAUGGCAUCUGGAGCAGCCUUUUCUAAGCAAUGGCAUUAUCAUUCCAGGCUCUCUCGCUCUUUCCAUCUCUCCACCAGGUGGACUCUUGCCCUCCACCCCUUCCAAUUUGUCAGUGAUUCAGAGAACAUUCUCCAUCCUUCCAAUGAUUACAUUCCUUCAUCUUGCUGGGGCGCCAAUUCAGUGAUGGAGCGGCUCUUGGGAGCAGCCUUGGCUUAUAGUGCAGCUCUCUGCUACCUUCAACAGGCUGGUAUUCGGGGUGCUUAGAUGUGACUGGUUGUACGCACGUGUGUGUAUGUGCAUGUGUGUACAGCAGUAAGAGCUUUCGAGGUAGAUACUUGAGGAAGCCUCAGACAUCUAGCCCCAUUACUGGGGCAAUGUCUUACUUGGGUUUUUCCAGAAACAGACCUGGAGACCAGGAUUCAAGUGCCAGUGGUAUAUUUGGGAUGUGAACCCUGCAAUGCUGGUAGGAGAGUGGAGAAGUGAGGCAAGGAAAGGAAGGCCGUCAAGGGGCGUGUUAGGAGGUCAUUCACCACCGCAGGUAGCCCGCUGGGGACCUCUGGGAGCAAGUGUGGCGCACAAGCCUCAGCAUUACUGCCCUGUGCCUUGAGGAGUAAGGGAUAAGGAUUUUCCCCACCAGUUCCCUGUAGUCCUUGGUGAGAGCUUCUGGGGUGGAGGUUAAGGUCUUUAGGUCAGAGAAAUUUUCUUUAGUUUCGGAAAAAUCUUUCAGGCCGAGGUCCAGACACUCACUGGAACACACUGAAGUGGUUAGGUCCAAGGGCUGUAGGCAGAGCUCCCAUAUCCAUCUGCAGAGGUGUUUCAGGUGGAAGGAGUGGAGACAGCCUUCUCUGCUCCACACUGUCUUCAGCAAGGGUUUCUGUAUCUGUGCAUUGAGGAUUAAAUUAUUCACAUGGUCAGAGAAGCCCAUCACCACUGAUAGUUAUUGUAGGUAUGGAAAACUAACGACUAAGAAGGGAGAAAAAUAUACCAAGCAGUUGGCUUGGCUGAACACAAGUAAAGACUCUUACAGUCACUGGUGUGAACUGCUUAUUAUCAAUGUCUGAUUACAGUGCUGCAUACUAAUGAUUAUGCAUGUCAUUAAAUGUGUCAGAUUAACUUUGUUAUAAAAUUUAUGACAACAUUAAAUUUUAUUCACAUGCUCAGCCUUCAUAAUUUAUUGCUUAUGUAGCAUGGUUUUAACUUCAGAAAAACCUCCAAGACAGUGUUGUCUUGAUGACUACACUGCUUAUCCGUGAGUCUAGUUUUCCUGUUCAUUUGAAAUGUUCACAUUACAUUCAGCUCUGUCUCAAGCACUGAGACAGAGCUGGAAUCAGUGCCCAGCGAUUCCACUUGCCGAGUGAUUGA
rnacentral:lncRNA from 10 species